rnacentral:rRNA from 1 species
GACGGAGGAUACAAGUGUUAUCCGGAAUUAUUGGGCGUAAAGCGUCUGUAGGUUGAUUUAUAAGUCUGUUGUUAAAUCCAGGGGCUCAACCCCUGUUCUGCAAUAUGAAACUAUAUUUCUAGAGGGUGGUAGGGGUAGAAGGAAUUCCUAGUGUAGCGGUGAAAUGCGUAGAUAUUAGGAAGAACACCAAAGGCGAAGGCAUUCUACUGGGCCAAUCCUGACACUGAGAGACGAAAGCUAGGGGAGCGAAUGGG